GAUGAACGCUGACAGAAUGCUUAACACAUGCAAGUCAACUUGAAUUUGGGUUUUUAACUUAGGUUUGGGUGGCGGACGGGUGAGUAACGCGUAAAGAACUUGCCUCACAGCUAGGGACAACAUUUGGAAACGAAUGCUAAUACCUAAUAUUAUGAUAAUAGGGCAUCCUAUAAUUAUGAAAGCUAUAAGCGCUGUGAGAGAGCUUUGCGUCACAUUAGCUAGUUGGAGAGGUAACGGAUCACCAAGGCGAUGAUGGGUAGCCGGCCUGAGAGGGUGAUCGGCCACAAGGGGACUGAGACACGGACCUUACUACUACGGGAGGCAGCAGUGGGGAAUAUUGGACAAUGGACCGAGAGUCUGAUCCAGCAAUUCUGUGUGCACGAUGAAGUUUUUCGGAAUGUAAAGUGCUUUCAGUUGGGAAGAAACAAAUGACGGUACCAACAGAAGAAGUGACGGCUAAAUACGUG
rnacentral:rRNA from 1 species